UACGUAGGUGGCGAGCGUUACCCGGAAUCACUGGGCGUAAAGGGAGCGUAGGUGGCCUGACAUGUCGACUGUGAAAACCCGGAGCUCAACUCCGGACUUGCAGUUGAAACUGCCAGGCUUGAGGACGGUAGAGGAAGACGGAACUGCCAGUGUAGGGGUAAAAUCCUUAGAUAUUGGCAGGAACGCCGGUGACGAAGGUGGUUUUCUGGGCCGGUUCUGACACUGAUGCUCGAAAGCCAGGGGAGCGAACGGGAUUAGAUACCCCGGUAGUCCCUGAGCGGGCUGG
rnacentral:rRNA from 1 species